UAUAAGAAGCACAGAGCCUCGGCACUGGUUUGGCUUAAGAUCUUCCAGAGCAGGACAUUGGAAAACCAGUAAGUAUUCACGUCAAAUUCAAUCUUUCCUUUGUGUCAGACCUGAACGUAAACAAACCACAACAAAUGUCGACACAAAACAAAAAAACUUGAACUUGUAAAUUGUGAGUUGCUUGGAAAUAAAAUGAACAUCAGCAGCGUUGGACAGCUACUUCCCUGAGUGAAAAACUAAUUCUUUUACGCUUUGAAUAUAUCUUAUCCCGUGAAUCUAGGUAUCCAAGGCUGCUCACAUCUCUUGUGAGAGUUAACGAAGACGGUGGUCUUAAAAGGGUUUUACUAGAAGAAACAUCAUGGAAUAUACCUGUUGUGUCUCUCUGGCCUCACACAUGCCUUUCUGAGGAAUUUAAUGAUAAAUCCAGAGGGGUUUACCACAGACAGAACAAGAAGUAAGCUUUUUCUUGUUUCUGCGUGCUUCAACACUACAGGAUGUGGGCAGGAAAACAGGAUGACAGGUAGCAAAAUGCCACAAAUCAGGACUUUUAACCUUCCUGAGCUAUACCUGCCAUUUUAUGAUGUUUGUUUUAUGACAUUUUAAGCCAAUCAACUCCAAAUGACCUGACGCACCUUCUGAUCUCUUAAGGAUUGCUGUGAAAAAGGAGCCACUCCUUACUUUGAGUCUUGUCAAGUAAAUUUUGAAGGACAAAACUUUUUUUUUGCAUUAUCAAGCAGAAGCUUGUAUAUGAUGACAUCAACACCAAUAAAAUAAUGUUAAAAGAG